CUGGCCCAUUACACCAAGCGCGUGACCAUCACCUCCCGGGACAUCCAGAUGGCCGUGCGACUGCUGCUGCCGGGGAAGAUGGGCAAGCUCGCCGAGGCCCAGGGCACGAAUGCCGCCCUCAGAACUUCAUUAUGUGCGAUAUGGCAACAGAGAAAGUGAAUAUGCUGAUACAAGAAGCAAGAUUAUUAGAAAAAUAUUACAGAAAUAGCUGAAGAGAAAUGUUAUGAAAAUAGUUGAAGUUGUGCUUAUUGCACGAGGAGACCAAGAAAAACCCCACAAAAUCAGCUGCAAGUAAAUCCUUCUGGAUGGUGCCACCAAAUGUUCCUACAAGUCCGGAACAACCCUUGCCAAACCAAAGACCCUUGCCAGAACCCUGCUUCUUCCCAGAGACAGAGCUGUGUACCUGACAAAACACCACAUCUCACUCAGUGACUUAUUUCUCAUUAUGCUAAUUGUUUUGCUGUAAAAUGCCAAUGUUUCUGUGAAUUAAGACAUACGAAUAAAUUUCUGAAGUUACCCUUGCA
rnacentral:lncRNA from 10 species